ACCAGGCGCGGUGGCGCAUGCCUGUAAUCCCAGCAGCUAGGGAAGCUGAGGCAGGGGAAUCGCGAGUUCUAAGCCAGCCUCAGCAAAAGCGAGGCGCUAAACAAUUCAGUGAGACCCUGUCUCUA
rnacentral:sRNA from 1 species